ensembl:lincRNA
GUGUGUGGGGACGGCACUGUGGCUCAGUGGUCAGUACUGUGGCCUCACAGCAAGAAGGUCUCUGGUUUGAGUCUCGGCUGGGUCAGUUGGUGUUUCUGUGUGGAGUUUGCAUGUUCUCCCCGUGUUGGCGUGGGUUUCCUCCGGGUGCUCCGGUUUCCCCCACAGUCCAAACACAGUAGUGUAUGAGUGUGUGUGUGUGUGUGAAUGAGUGUGUGUGCGGGUGUUUCCCAGUACUGGGUUGCAGCUGGAAGGGAAUCCACUGUGUAAAACACAUGCUGGAAUAGUUAGCGGUUCAUUCCGCUGUGGCGACCCCACAACAUAUUUAAGUUUAAUAUAUAUCAUCCAACAUAAUGCAGAUAUCACGACAGGUCUACUAAUGACCUCUGAUAUGACCCCACUCACAUUUCCUAACGGAUGAAUGAUCCAAAACUGAACUUGCAUAUAUGGAUGCUGAAACAUCGGUGUAUGUUGGCUGAUCUGACAUCAGUUUUUACAGCAUCUUAACCCUGAUCAAUAACUCAACUGAUCAUCUGGAUCAAUCCUCCUGCAAAACAGACACUGACUCCUCAAGCAGAAAACAUCUUAACAUCACACUUUAAUCCAGUCUCUAGAGCAUCAGCAGACGCCUCUGCAAGGUCACUACACACACACACACACACACACACACACACACACACACACACACACACACACACACACACACACACACACACACACUUCUGUUUGCCUUCAUUAUCUACUGUUUAUCCUUCACUAAUUCACUUUCAGGAGUCCUUCAGCAGUGUCUCACUUCUGUGUGUGUGUGUGUGUGUGUGUGUGUGUGUGUAUAAUUAGCACUGCUCUGAAUGAUAAUUGAUGAUCAUANNNNNNNNNNNNNNNNNNNNNNNNNNNNNNNNNNNNNNNNNNNNNNNNNNNNNNNNNNNNNNNNNNNNNNNNNNNNNNNNNNNNNNNNNNNNNNNNNNNNAGCGCAUACGGAAACCUGCGCUUCCACUUCACCAUGGGUAUGUCUGUGUGUGAGAGUGUGUGUGUGUGUGUGUGUGUGUGUCCACCAGCUCUGUGUUUGACCGCUGUGUUUCCUGCAGGUGGUGGAGGCUGUGAUCCUGGAGAGUCCAGCAAGAAUAACGUGAUCGUCUUCGGCCGCUCGGAGGGCAGGAAGGAGCACGUGCUGCUGGAUGUCCUGCCAUACUCCGCCUACAGGACCCCUGCAGUGGUGUCCAUCAGUCUGCCCACUGAGCUGCAGACUCCACACACUCAGUUCUGUCUGGAGCAGGAGACUCACGCCGGACAGAACCGGCAGGUGUGGGCGCUGGACUUCCUGCAGCUCUUACCUGUGCAGCCUGGAGCGAACACACACCUGCUGCAGUUCUCCAUUAACCUGGGCUGCGGAGCGUACCAGCCGGCCAACAGUGUCAAACUGGAGUUCUCCACCAAUCAGGGCCGCUCCUGGGCUCUCCUGCACACCGAGUGUCUUCCGGAGGUGUGUUCUGGAGCCCACCUUCCCCACAGCAGCAUCUACUCCUCCGAGAACUACAGCGGCUGGUCCCGGAUCAGCAUCCCUCUGCCCAACGCCGCGCUGACGGAGAGUACACGCUUCCGCUGGAGGCAGAGCGCUGCGGGGACCGGGAACAUGUGGGCCAUCGACAACGUGUACAUCGGGCCGUCCUGCCUGCGGUUCUGCUCCGGCAGAGGACAUUGCUCCCGCACUGGCUGCCGGUAUGAUGAGCCUGCGCUCCUGCUGACACACAUACACACACAAACACACUCAUACACACACCCUGUUCUGACCGCUCUGCACUGUGUCCCUCAGGUGUGACCCGGGCUUCAGUGGCCCGGCGUGUGAGCUGGCGUCGCAGGCGUUCCCGGCGUUCCUGUCGGAGAGUUUCUCCAGCGCACGUCUCUCCUCAUACCACUGCUUCAGCUCGCUGCGCGGCGCCGAGGUCAGCUUCGCCUGCGGGGUUCUGGCCAGCGGGAAAGCCCUGGUGUUCAACAGAGACAGCAGGAGACACCUCAUCACCACUGCACUGGACAGCUCACAGGCCAGGUGCACACACACACACACACACACACACACACACACACACACACACACACACAGUUCAGUACAGUACAGACACUCAUGCUACAGCUCAGAAACAACUGUUUUUAAUCAUAUUCCCCUGUGUGUGUGUGUGUGUGUGUGUGUGUGUGUGUGUGUGUGGUGUGUGUGUGUGUGUGUGUGUGUGUGUGUGUGUGUGUUUUUUGUUAAAUAAAAUGUUUAUCAGUUGACUAUAAACAAUUAUCUUCAGGAAUAUGGAGAGUAAUUUUUCUAACAUACAAUAUUUGCAGACUGAAAUGACAUUUUGCAAUGGUUUUUCUCCAAACCUGGGAAAGUGAUGGC